rnacentral:rRNA from 1 species
UACGAAGGGGGCUAGCGUUGCUCGGAAUUACUGGGCGUAAAGCGCACGUAGGCGGAUUGUUAAGUCGGGGGUGAAAUCCUGGAGCUCAACUCCAGAAUUGCCUUCGAUACUGGCGAUCUCGAGUCCGGGAGAGGUGAGUGGAACUGCGAGUGUAGAGGUGAAAUUCGUAGAUAUUCGCAAGAACACCAGUGGCGAAGGCGGCUCACUGGCCCGGUACUGACGCUGAGGUGCGAAAGCGUGGGGAGCAAACAGG